CUCAGUGGUUAAUGAACCCAACUAGCAUCCAUGAGGAUGUGGGUUUAAUACCUGGCCUCGCUCAGUGGGUUAAGGAUCCAGCGUUGCUGUGAGCUGUGUUGUAGGUUGCAGACGCGGUUCAGAUCUGGCGUUGCUGUGGCUGUGGUGUAGGCCAGCAGCUACAGCUCUGAUUAGACCCCUAGCCUGGGAACCUCCAUGUGCCGUGGGUGCGGCCCUAAAAUAAGACAAAAAAAAAAAAAAGUGCUAUUUUCCUAUUAGAUUUGCUUAUGGAGUUUUAAGAGUAUUUAUUUGUAUAUAUGGAGUGGAUGGGCAAGGGAUCUCACUGUACAGCAUAGGGAAAUGUGUGUGAUUGGGUCACUUUGUGGUAUAACAGAACUUGAUGAAACAAUGUAAAUCAACUAUACAAUAAUAGUAAUAAUAAAGACAGGAAACAAAGUAUUUAUUUGUGUGUCUAGUGUUUAAUUCUUCUCUUGCUAGAUUGGAAGCUUCUAAAGUGUUUUUUUUUUUUUUUUUAACCACUUCUUCCCAGUGCCUGCCACACCUGUUAUUCUUGCUAAAAAUAUUUUUUUGGAUGACUCUUAAAGACAUGCUGUGCUGGAAAAAUGUCAUUUCAUAUAGUAAAUCUAAAAUUUUGUAAAAUAAAUAUAGAUGGUUAAAAGAUAUUCUACACUCAUGACAAAAUGAAUAUAUUACUAUACCAGUAAGAAUGGACGUGUGAGCCAUGGAAUUUACCAUAUGAUUACUUUUUCUAUGUUUCAAUAGCUUUUUCAAGACUUGGUGGGGGGAGUUCCUACUGUGGCUCAGCGGUAAUGAAUCUGACUAGUAUCCAUGAGGACUCGGGUUUGAUCCCUGGCUUUGCUCAGUGGGUCAAGGUCCGGCAUUGCUGUGGCUGUGGUGUAGACCGAAGCUGCAGCUCCAGUUUGACCCCUAGCCUGGGAACUUCCAUAUGCUGUGGGUGUGGCCCUAAAAAGACAAAACCAAAAAAUAAAAAACCUUGGUGGGACUUUUCCUCCUCCACUGUCUGACAUAGUGUGUCCCUCCCAGCCUGCCAGAGCGAUGACUUGUUUUGUUCUUUAAGCUCUCAGAACUUAGCCUUCCUUCUCCAUUUCAUCUCUGAGAUUGUAGUAACAAAAAUAGAGCUGGACGAUGAGGACUCAUUUCCCUGAAGGAUGCUCUACAACCUGGAAACUUGCCAUGUUUGAAGUUUUGCAUUUUUUCAAAACAAAUGAGGAUCUGUUUCCACUUUUUCUAGUUUAAACUUCUCUCUCUAGACUUCUUACAGUGAAAGAUACUUGCCAUUGUAGGGUUAAUAAAACAGAAGCAAGGAAAUCAAGAUGGAAUAGGCAAUGACGUGGGGCAAUACACGGUUGAGGAGCAAAGACUGGAGCAUGUUGCUUUAAAUGUCCCUCAUUUAUUCUUGAAAGAAAUCAUUAUAUGCUAAUUAACACAUCUUUGUAGGAGCCUGAGACAUUUAAUUUGUUUCUAAGUAGUUUAGAUAAAUAUCCAAUGUGAAUACUAUUACCUGGUUUCAGGCAAUCAUUUCAGCUCUCUGAAUACAAUUUGGUUUCUUACUCUGUGGUGUGAUUUUGAGAUAGAUUUUAGAGGACUACUGAAAAACACAUUGUGUGCUUAUCAUGAUGAUUUAUGCUUUUGUUACUUGUAAGGAUCCCCUAACCGUUUGCCAGUUUUUCCUCAUAUUUGUUUUUACAUCAGCUCAGCUAAUAAGCCGAUUUCGUAGAAAUGUGGCAUGAUUUUAUCAGAGUUGUAUUGGGUGACCAUACCUCUUGGUUUAGGUCUGUUGUCCUGGCAUUGCUGUUAAUGGUGCCCAUUUCACUUUUUAAAAUUUGGAUAGUUACUCAUAUGGUUGGUCAGUCUAUGAGGACUUUCUGAACAACCUUCUCAUCCUUUGAACAUUUCCCCCUUCUUCUCACCUCUGCUUCUCAAAGACCAGGCUUUCGGUUCUUGCCUAUGCUGCAGAAACAACUCUAGCAUGGCCAUUAUGCAUGACGACUUAAAGGACUGGGAGCUGGAGACAGAUGACCUAGUUUGAGAGCCCAGCUUCACCAUUUGCAGGGCGUGUGACCUUAGACCAUCUAGCUGGCCCUUCAGGCCCCAGGGUCAUAUGCACGCGGGACUGCAGUAGCACUUCAGAGAGAGGCAGUUAGAGGCCUAGACUCUGGUGCCCUACUGCCUGGGGGUGAAUCCCAGCUUGGCCACAAUUUAAGGCUAUGAGGGUUAGGGUUAGAGGGUUAGGGUUAGGGUUAGGGUUNCUUAAGGCUAUGAGGGUUAGGGUUAGGGUCCCUAAUGAGUGGACAUACAUGCACAUUCUUAAAGCCUGGCGCAUGAACAGUGUUCGGUAAAUGUUAGCAGUUGUUGUUAAUGCUCUGAGAAUUAAAUAUGGUUUAAAUGCAAGUGCUUCACACACAGUCAGCGCUCAGUAAAUGAGUUCUACUGGACACUGGCCUGGCGUGUCUCUGGUUUCUGUCCCUCCUGAAUCCCAGCGAAAAUAUACUCAUCAUAGAUAUUCAAAAUAUGCACUUUCAUAAGUCUGUGUAUAUGGGCCCAGAAUGAGGAACUCUGAGCAUAUUCUGCUUUAUAUCCCCAAAUAGAAGGUUCUGCGCUGCCAAGCUACAGUUAAAAAGUCUAGCCAAAUGCCAACACAUUUUGAAUAAGUUGCAAAUAUAAAAUUCAUUUGCUCUUAGAGGGUGUAUACUGGCUUUGCUGAAUUAGAAAUGCAGAGAAGGGAGGGUUUGUUUGUCCUGUGCAUUUGAAGUCAAAGCCAGAAUUGUGAUGGUUUAAUGGUCUCAAAUGUUUCGUUGGAAUUUUCCAGGAAAGAGAGGGAAUGCAUUUAUCCCUUAUAUGGCCUAUCUCCAUCUCUACAUAGGAACUGGAACAAGUAGUUUCUCUAGCAUUCCUUGAAGACGGUGUAACUCCAGUGGAAUAUAAGCCCCUUCGGUGAAUGAAAUAUCUCACUGCCUGCCACUGGGCCCUGUACCUGUCAGGAAUUAGGGAGCAUUUGCCUAAGUGAAGGGGGUCUCACCCCACUUAGAGUGGGGGCAGGGUAGUCAUCAUUUGAUUUCAUGGUCUUUUUUUCUUUCCACUUCUUGUCUACCAGGAAAAAAGUUAAAAAAGAAGUCUACUUGACCUCACUGAAUGACAUUUUAUUUUAUUUUUACUUUUUUAAAAAAUGAUUUUUAUUUUUUCCGUCAUAGCUCGUUUCCAGUGUUCUGUCAAUUUUCUGCUGUAUAGCAUGGUGACCCAGUCACACAUACAUAUAUACAUUCUUUUUUCUCCCAUUAUCAUGCUCCAUCGUAAGUGACUAGAUAUAGUUCCCAGUGCUAUACAGCAGGAUCUCAUUGCUUAUCCGUUCCAAAGGCAACAGUUUCCACCUAUUAACCCCAAAUUCCCAGUCCAUCCCACUCCCUCCCCCUUGGCACUGAGUAACAUUUUAGUUUCCAUUGAAAUGAGGAUUUUCUUCGCUAGAAAUAGGAGAUAGGCACUAAUUUGACUUACUGUGCUCAGAAGAAGAACAUGAGGAUCACCAUGACAUUUCUGGAAAAUGGCCAGGUGUGGCAAGCAUGGAGCACCCACCUUUAUAGGUUCAGGGAGCAUGAAGCUCAGAAUCCUUGAGCCCCUGCUAAGAAGGGUCCCGGGGUGUCACCCCUUAGCAAGCAGCUCUUCUGUCUCCAAGGGUCUCCCCAGUUUCUCCCAGCGUGGGGGGAGCUGGUGCCAUCAAGGCACCAGGAAAACCAUGUCAGAGUCAGUUCUGGAAUAGGGGUCUUGCUCUCUCUUUAGGCCCUGGAGAGCCUCACCUUCUGUAUACAAGGAGUUGUCCAGCUAGUUCUCAACCAAAGACCUCCCUUGGCUGAUAUGAAUUGUUCUGCUUCCCCAGAGGCUUCAUUUGGUUCUUAUUGAAAGGCCGAGGGUUUUCCUUGCACCACACCCAUGAAGAGGCAGCUAUAAUAGGGAGGGUCAAUGCUAAGAAAGGGGUGGGCACAGGAUGCCAUGCCAACACAGAAGGGGCACCAGUCAUGGACUAAGGUGUGGGGGGAAAGCUCCCAGAGGAGGAGGCAUGCAAGUUAAACCAUCAGCACAUCCAGAGGUCCUCUUGUAGCUCAGUGGUAACAAACCCAACUAGGAUCCAUGAGGAUGCGGGUUCGAUCCCUGGCCUUGCUCAGUGAGUUAAGGAUCCGGCAUUGCCGUGAGCUGUGGUACAGGCUGCAGAGGCAGCUUGGAUCCUGCAUUGCUGUGGCUGUGGUGUAGGCUGGAAGCUACAGCUCUGAUUCAACCCCUAGCCUGGGAACUUC
rnacentral:lncRNA from 1 species